AUGAACGCUGGCGGCGUGCCUAAUCCAUGCCAGUCGCGCGAACAGAUAAGGAGCUUGCUCCUUUGACGUUAGCGGCGGACGGGUGAGUAACACGUGGGUAACCUACCUAUAAGACUGGGAUAACUUCGGGAAACCGGAGCUAAUACCGGAUAACAUUUGGAACCGCAUGGUUCUAAAGUGAAAGAUGGUUUUGCUAUCACUUAUAGAUGGACCCGCGCCGUAUUAGCUAGUUGGUAAGGUAACGGCUUACCAAGGCAACGAUACGUAGCCGACCUGAGAGGGUGAUCGGCCACACUGGAACUGAGACACGGUCCAGACUCCUACGGGAGGCAGCAGUAGGGAAUCUUCCGCAAUGGGCGAAAGCCUGACGGAGCAACGCCGCGUGAGUGAUGAAGGGUUUCGGCUCGUAAAACUCUGUUAUUAGGGAAGAACAAACGUGUAAGUAACUGUGCACGUCUUGACGGUACCUAAUCAGAAAGCCACGGCUAACUACGUG
rnacentral:rRNA from 1 species